UGAAGUACACAACAGCUUGUCGCCGCAGGCGUGCCUCCCUCAGGGAAUGGAGGCCCGCCCCGGACUGCUUCCUCGAGCUCCCCCAUUCCCUGACACCGCUGCGCCCCCUUCCCCGAACCAGCCCCAGUCCAGCUGCAGUCCGAGAGCAUGGGCCGGCGUGGCGCUGGACCCCUGGACUCGGCAGAAGCCGCAGUUGGUGCAACGCUGCUCUGCACCAGGUACUUGCUGAGCACCCACCUAUGCCAGGCACCAGGCUGGUCCCCAGAGAGAAACAGAGGACUGCUUUCAUGAUGUGGUCGAGAGUCCGGCAACGACUUCACUGGAGGCUCUGCACGGCUGUAGUCAAGGCGUGAGGCGGGGCUGCACUUUCCCAGGGAGGCCUGGCUGCGGCUGCGCACCUGGGGGCGGGUCCCCUUCCAGGCUCCCUCAGCUUGUUGACAGAAUUCAUUUCCUCGUGACUGCAGGACUCAUGACAGUUUGCUUUUUCACAGCCAGCAAUGUCGGUGGG